UCGAAGGGAAAGUUGAAAGUUUGAGUUGAAGCCGUGAUUUUCCCGCUUUCAUCUUCUUCCAUCGCAAUCACAAUCUUUCCGUUGGAAUGUAAAAUUAAUGGCGCUUAAUCUCUUAAUUUCCCUAUUCUUCAUCCUUAUUUCCUACGUUCUUGUUCAAUCAACACCACCUCUCCCAAACCCAAUCCCUCCCCUUUUCUUGGUAUUCUUUGUUUCUUGAUUCUUUUUGUUCUUCUUUCUGGAUUUGUUAUGAUUUCUUUAAACUUUCUUUACGUUUGAUUUCUUGUUUUCAUUUUUGGAUGUUCUCAUCCCUACGUCUUGGACUUCCGUUUGUUCCGAGUUAUGUUGGACACGUUGGAGUCGUGGAAGAUAUGAUUCAAGGAAUGAAUUACGCAUCGGCUAGUGAUGGGAGUUAUCUUCAUUAGUGAAUCCAAAUCGAAAUGUUAUUUGUAACAGGACAACACAUCUCCUUUACAUAACAAAUUUAGCAAUUUGUUCUAUAUAUGGGCGAGAAGGCUGCUGCCGAUCACAUUUCCAAUUCAGUCUUUUGGAAUCAAAGAUUACAUUCGUUACUAUCUUUUUAAUAUAUCUAAUAUUCAAAAUCUUUACCCUCCGUGGAAUUUUAACCAAUUUCUUGCAGCCACAAUCAUACAGAAAAUCAAGGUGAUUUUAUUGUAUAUAGUUCUUUGCUAUAUAAUUGAAAAAAGUAUAUACAUACAUUACCCAUUACGCCAUCUCUUUGCCUUCAUGAUAUUGUUGUUGUGCACAUAUUUUCAUGUUCCAAAGUUUGAGCUUUUAGAUUAUUUUCGAUAUUGGAAACUAACCAUGCAUUGUAAGCCCGACAUAGAAGUUUCCUUUAUUUCCACUAUGUUAAUUAAUUUACCAAUUGUCCAAGAACUUCCUAAAAGACUUUGUGUUGAUGGUCCAGAAUUUGUAUAACAUAAAUGCUAGGAGAAUCGUUGUAAUGGGAUUGGCACUUAUUGGUUGUGCUCCUUUCUACUUAUGGAAGUAUUGUAGUGAGAAUGGAGCGUGUAUUGAGAAGAUAAAUGAUAUGGUUAUGGAGUUCAACUUUGCCAUGAGAUACAUGGUCGAGGAGCUCAACACGGAGCUGCCCGAUUCGAGUAUAAUCUUAUGUGAUUUGCUUCAAGAUUCAAUGAAUAUCUUGAAGAAUAAUGAAUAUUAUGGUGUCAAUGACAAUCUAACUUCUUUUCACUCUCUUCACCAUGAUCCAAAUUUGUCUCUCUCAUUGUGUUAGUCCCUUCUUUUCCAUGUAGGUUUCAAUGUAACUUCGAGUGCUUGUUGUGGGUUUGGUCGUUACAUUGGUUGGAUCCGUGCAUCUCACCAAUUAUGGCUUGUAAAAAUGCUUCUAAUCAUAUUUGGUAGGAUCAAUUUCAUCCAUUGGAUGUAGUAAAUGCUAUUCUUGUAAAUAACAUGUAGAGUGGCCUCCACACAACAAUAUGUUAUACAAAGAAUUUGCAGGACGUGAUAAACUCC